rnacentral:lncRNA from 1 species
UGAAGAAGUUGAGAAAUACCAGCAGCCUUUCUUCCGCCCUCAUGGAAGGACAUCAUCUGAGACAACACAGGUGACAUGGAGAGAGACAAGACAGGCAAAACAAUCCAUGAAUUGGAGGAGUACAGUGCCUCAUAAACAG